CCUACGGGUGGCAGCAGUGGGGAAUAUUGGACAAUGGGCGAAAGCCUGAUCCAGCCAUGCCGCGUGUGUGAAGAAGGCCUUCGGGUUGUAAAGCACUUUCAGUGGGGAAGAAAGCCUUGGGGCUAAUACCCUCGAGGAAGGACAUCACCCAUAGAAGAAGCACCGGCUAACUCCGUGCCAGCAGCCGCGGUAAUACGGAGGGUGCGAGCGUUAAUCGGAAUUACUGGGCGUAAAGCGCGCGUAGGCGGUCUGAUAAGCCGGUUGUGUAAGCCCCGGGCUCAACCUGGGAACGGCAUCCGGAACUGUCAGGCUAGAGUGCAGGAGAGGAAGGUAGAAUUCUCGGUGUAGCGGUGAAAUGCGUAGAGAUCGGGAGGAAUACCAGUGGCGAAGGCGGCCUUCUGGACUGACACUGACGCUGAGGUGCGAAAGCGUGGGUAGCAAACAGGAUUAGAUACCCGAGUAGUC
rnacentral:rRNA from 1 species